rnacentral:lncRNA from 1 species
ACUAUAGAAGCUCGGAUGGAGACCAAUUACCGUGGAAGUCUGGAUGGAGACCACUUAUUUUAGAAGUUCGGAUGAAAUUCGCUUACUAUAGAAGCUCGGAUGAAAUUAGGAAGGCGAUCGACCACUGUAGAAACUUGGAUGGAGUCUGGUACUGUAGAAGUCCUGCUGCUGGAAAAGUCCGAACAUUGACGAAGUCUGAAAGAAGCUCGGAGUAAAGUUGAUCGUGACAGGAGGAAGUCUGGAAG